UUUGAAGCGUGGACGCCAGUCUGCGUGGAGCCGACCUUGAAAUACCACCCUUUAAUGUUUGAUGUUCUAACGUGGACCCGUAAUCCGGGUUGCGGACAGUGUCUGGUGGGUAGUUUGACUGGGGCGGUCUCCUCCUAAAGAGUAACGGAGGAGCACGAAGGUUGGCUAAUCCUGGUCGGACAUCAGGAGGUUAGUGCAAUGGCAUAAGCCAGCUUGACUGCGAGCGUGACGGCGCGAGCAGGUGCGAAAGCAGGUCAUAGUGAUCCGGUGGUUCUGAAUGGAAGGGCCAUCGCUCAACGGAUAAAAGGUACUCCGGGGAUAACAGGCUGAUACCGCCCAAGAGUUCAUAUCGACGGCGGUGUUUGGCACCUCGAUGUCGGCUCAUCACAUCCUGGGGCUGAAGUAGGUCCCAAGGGUAUGGCUGUUCGCCAUUUAAAGUGGUACGCGAGCUGGGUUUAGAACGUCGUGAGACAGUUCGGUCCCUAUCUGCCGUGGGCGCUGGAGAACUGAGGGGGGCUGCUCCUAGUACGAGAGGACCGGAGUGGACGCAUCACUGGUGUUCGGGUUGUCAUGCCAAUGGCACUGCCCGGUAGCUAAAUGCGGAAGAGAUAAGUGCUGAAAGCAUCUAAGCACGAAACUUGCCCCGA
rnacentral:rRNA from 2 species